AUGUGCUCGGUACUUGGAAUCAGCGAUGAACCUGUGCAACGAAAAUGUGUAUCUGAAGCAGCCAUCAAAGCCUCGAUUGCAAAUGUUGAUGCAUGUAUAGCUGAUAUAAAUGAGGACUUACUUGCCGAUGCGGCUCUUCCAGUGCCUGACCAUAUGCCUGAAGAUGAUCACUUUUGGUAUGAUAAGGAACAUCCUGUGAUAGAGGAAGGUUCUUUGUUUCGUUCGAUGAAAGAGUUUAGAAUGCUUAUGAGAACAUUUGCUAUUAGAGGUAAGUUUGACAUUAAGACCAAGGAUAGUGACACUACUAGAUAUGUGGGUCACUAUAAAGGAAUUGGAUGUCCUUGGCGUAUAAUUGCUAGAACGAUAGAAGAUGGCAAAACAGUCAGGGUUAACAAGAUAGUAAAGCCUCAUAAGUGUUCAUCAACCACUAAAGUGAUUACAAGCAUGGCAGAACAAGCAUGGGUGGCAGAAAAGGCAAUUGGGUAUCUUCAAACUGAACCAAACAUUGGUGGCAUGGAGCUCCUAAAAAAGCUACAAGCAGAGUACAAAUGUACUAUUGGGUAUGAUACUGUACACAGGGGAAAAGAAAGG
rnacentral:rRNA from 1 species